rnacentral:rRNA from 1 species
GAUGAACGCUGGCGGCGCGCCUAACACAUGCAAGUCGAACGGCACCUGCCUUCGGGCAGAAGCGAGUGGCGAACGGCUGAGUAACACGUGGAGAACCUGCCCCCUCCCCCGGGAUAGCCGCCCGAAAGGACGGGUAAUACCGGAUACCCCGGGGUGCCGCAUGGCAUCCCGGCUAAAGCCCCGACGGGAGGGGAUGGCUCCGCGGCCCAUCAGGUAGACGGCGGGGUGACGGCCCACCGUGCCGACAACGGGUAGCCGGGUUGAGAGACCGACCGGCCAGAUUGGGACUGAGACACGGCCCAGACUCCUACGGGAGGCAGCAGUGGGGAAUCUUGCGCAAUGGGGGGAACCCUGACGCAGCGACGCCGCGUGCGGGACGGAGGCCUUCGGGUCGUAAACCGCUUUCAGCAGGGAAGAGUCAAGACUGUACCUGCAGAAGAAGCCCCGGCU